AGAGUUGAUCCUGCUCAGACGACGCUGGCGGCGUGCUAUACAUGCAAGUAGAACGCUGAAAUAAGAGCUGCUCUUAUGAUGAGUUGCGAACGGGUGAGUAACACGUGGGGAACUACCUUCUAGCGGGGGGAUACACAUAGAAAUGUGUGCUAAUACCGCAUAAUAGUAUUUGAUGCAUAUCAGAUACUUGAAAGGCGCAAUUGCGUCACUAGAAGAUGGCCCCGCGGUGCAUUAGCUAGUUGGUGAGGUAACGGCUCACCAAGGCAAUGAUGCAUAGCCGACCUGAGAGGGUGAUCGGCCACACUGGGACUGAGACACGGCCCAGACUCCUACGGGAGGCAGCAGUAGGGAAUCUUCGGCAAUGGACGCAAGUCUGACCGAGCAACGCCGCGUGAGUGAAGAAGGUUUUCGGAUCGUAAAACUCUGUUGUAAGAGAAGAACGUUGAUGAGAGUGGAAAGUUCAUCAAGUGACGGUAUCUUACCAGAAAGCCACGGCUAACUACGUGCCAGCAGCCGCGGUAAUACGUAGGUGGCAAGCGUUGUCCGGAUUUAUUGGGCGUAAAGCGAGCGCAGGCGGUUGAUUAAGUCUGAUGUGAAAGCCCCCGGCUCAACCGGGGAGGGUCAUUGGAAACUGGUCAACUUGAGUGCAGAAGAGGAGAGUGGAAUUCCAUGUGUAGCGGUGAAAUGCGUAGAUAUAUGGAGGAACACCAGUGGCGAAGGCGGCUCUCUGGUCUGUAACUGACGUUGAGGCUCGAAAGUGUGGGUAGCAAACAGGAUUAGAUACCCUGGUAGUCCACACCGUAAACGAUGAACACUAGGUGUUAGGAGGUUUCCGCCUCUUAGUGCCGAAGCUAACGCAUUAAGUGUUCCGCCUGGGGAGUACGACCGCAAGGUUGAAACUCAAAGGAAUUGACGG
rnacentral:rRNA from 1 species